UGCAAGUCGAACGGACCUUAUGUGCUUGCACAUAAGGUUAGUGGCAGACGGGUGAGUAACGCGUGGGAAUGUACCCCUUGGUUCGGAAUAACGUUUGGAAACGGACGCUAAUACUGGAUACGUCCGAAAGGAGAAAGAUUUAUUGCCGAGGGAGCGGCCCGCGUUGGAUUAGGUAGUUGGUGAGGUAAAGGCUCACCAAGCCGAUGAUCCAUAGCUGGUUUGAGAGGAUGAUCAGCCACACUGGGACUGAGACACGGCCCAGACUCCUACGGGAGGCAGCAGUGGGGAAUAUUGGACAAUGGGGGCAACCCUGAUCCAGCAAUGCCGCGUGAGUGAUGAAGGCCUUCGGGUUGUAAAGCUCUUUUGUCAGGGACGAUAAUGACGGUACCUGACGAAUAAGCUCCGGCUAACUUCGUGCCAGCAGCCGCGGUAAUACGAAGGGAGCUAGCGUUGUUCGGAAUUACUGGGCGUAAAGGGCGCGUAGGCGGUCUUAUAAGUUUGGUGUGAAAGCCCUGGGCUUAACCUAGGAAUAGCAUUGGAUACUGUAAGACUUGAGACCGAGAGAGGGAAAUGGAAUUGCGAGUGU
rnacentral:rRNA from 1 species